CUGAGAGGGCGGUCGGUCACACUGACACUGACAUACGGGUCAGACUCCUACGGGAGGCAGCAGUGGGGAAUCUUGCACAAUGGGGGAAACCCUGAUGCAGCGACGCCGCGUGAGCGAUGAAGCCCUUCGGGGUGUAAAGCUCUUUCGUCAGGGACGAUAAUGACGGUACCUGGAGAAGCGGCUGCGGCUAACUACGUGCCAGCAGCCGCGGUAAUACGUAGGCAGCAAGCGUUGUUCGGAGUUACUGGGCGUAAAGGGUGUGUAGGCGGUUCUUUAAGUUUGGUGUGAAAUCUCCCGGCUCAACUGGGAGGGUGCGCCGAAUACUGAGGGACUAGAGUACGGGAGAGGAAAGUGGAAUUCCUGGUGUAGCGGUGAAAUGCGUAGAUAUCAGGAGGAACACCGGUGGUGUAGACGGCUUUCUGGACCGUAACUGACGCUGAGACACGAAAGCGUGGGUAGCAAACAGGAUUAGAUACCCUGGUAGUCCACGCCCUAAACGAUGCAUAUUUGGUGUGGGCAGUUCAUUCUGUCCGUGCCGGAGCUAACGCGUUAAAUAUGCCGCCUGGGGAGUACAGUCGCAAGGCUGAAACUCAAAGGAAUUGACGG
rnacentral:rRNA from 1 species